rnacentral:rRNA from 1 species
AUUGAACGCUGGCGGCAGGCCUAACACAUGCAAGUCGAGCGAGCGGCGGACGGGAGAGUAAUGUAUGGGGACUGCCCGAUAGAGGGGGAUAACUACUGGAAACGGUAGCUAAUACCGCAUACUAACGGAUAACCCAUAUUGGAUUAGCUAGUAGGUGAGGUAAUGGCUCACCUAGGCGACGAUCCCUAGCUGGUCUGAGAGGAUGAUCAGCCACACUGGGACUGCGACACGGCCCAGACUCCUACGGAUGCAGCAGUGGGGAAUAUUGCACAAUGGGCGCAAGCCUGAUGCAGCCAUGCCGCGUGUAUGAAGAAGGCCCUAGGGUUGUAAAGUACUUUCAGUCGGGAGGCGUUACCGGCAGAAGAAGCACCGGCUAACUCCGUGCCAGCAGCCGCGGUAAUUC